ensembl:lncRNA
UAGUCUCCUUUAUGGCUCUAAUCUGAUAGUGGUCAUGGGGUGGUAGAUGUCUAGUCUCCCUUAUGGCUCUAAUCUGAUAGUGGUCGUGGGGUGGUACAUGUCUAGACUCCCUUAUGGCUCUAAUCUGAUAGUGGUAGUGGGGUGGUAGAUGUCUAGUCUACUUUAUGACUCUAAUCUGAUAGUGGUAGAUGUCUAGUCUCCCUUAUGGCUCUAAUCUGAUAGUGGCAGUGGGGUGGUAGAUGUCUAGUCUCCCUUCUGGCUCUAAUCUGUUAGUGGUAGAUGUCUAGUCUCCCUUUUGGCUCUAAUCUGAUAGUGGUAGUGGGGUGGUAGAUGUCUAGUCUCCCUUCUGGCUCUAAUCUGAUACGGCUCUAAUCUGAUAGUGGUAGAUGCCUAGUCUCCCUUUUGGCUCUAAUCUGAGAGUGGUAGAUGUUUAGUAUCCCUUAUGGCUCUAAUCUGAUAGUGGUAGUGGGUUGGUAGAUGUAUAGUAUCCCUUAUGGCUCUUAUCUGAUAUUGGUAGUGGGGUGGUAGAUGUCUAGUCUCCCUUAUGGCUCUAAUCUGAUAGUGAUUGUAGGGUGGUAGAUGUCUAGGCUGCUUUAUGACUCUAAUCUGA